GGGAGUGUAGCUCAGUGGUAGAGCAUUCGACUGCAGGUCGAGAGGUCAGUGGUUCAACCCCGCUCGCUCCCU
rnacentral:tRNA from 1 species